rnacentral:tRNA from 1 species
GGGGUUGUGGCUCAGUGGUAGAGUACUCACCUAGCAUGGUGAGGCCCUGGGUUUGAUCCUCAGCACCACA